rnacentral:rRNA from 1 species
AUGAACGAGGAGGCGGAGGGGAGGGGGGCGAGGCCCGGCGUGCUUAAGGUGGUGGUGGCGCAGGGGACCAACCUCGCCAUCAGGGACUUCACCUCCAGCGACCCCUACGUCGUCGUCCGCCUCGCAGACAAGAGUGCAAAGACAAAAGUCAUCAACAGUUGCCUCAAUCCAGUUUGGAACGAAGAGAUGGUCUUCUCUAUCAGGGAACCUCUAGGGAUCAUCAAAUUUGAGGUGUUCGACCGGGACCGGUUCAAGUACGACGACAAGAUGGGACACGCCUUCCUCGACCUGCAGCCGGUGGCCGCCGCGACGAAGCUGCGGCGCGCGCUCAAGCUCACCACGGGGGAGACCAGGCUCCGGAAGGUGGCGCCGACCGCCGACAACUGCCUGCUCUCCGACAGCUUCGUGACCUACGCCGACGGCGAGAUCGUGCUCGACUCCCGGCUGCGGCUGCGCGACGUCGAGUCCGGGGAGCUCUUCGUGACCGUCAAGUGGAUCGACGCCGGCGCCACGUGA